AAUUAUUAUAUUAUUAAAAAUUUUGUUUAAAAAUUUUAUAUUAAUAAAAUUAUUUUUAUUAUUAUUAUUAAUUUUAGUAUUAUUUAAAGAAAAAAUUAAAAAAAUUAUAGUGUAUUUGUAUAUUGAUAGAAAUUUGAAAUAAUUUGAAAUAAAUAAUUUUUAAAAAGUAAAUUUUAUUUAUUGUACCUUGUGUAUCAGGGUUAAUUUAAAAAUUGAUAUUUAAAUAAUAUUUUUCUCGAAUUUAAAAGAUCUAUUUAUUAUAAAUUAUUAUUAAUGUUUAAUAAUUAUCUUAAAUUUUUAAAUAGAAAUGAAAUGUUUUUCGUUUUUAAAGUUAUCUAGUUUUUUAAUAAAUAAAUUUAAUUUAGAUAUUAUAUUCAUUUAUUAUCUUAAUUAAUUAAGAUAAUAAUUUUUAAUAUUAAAGUUUUAAGGGAUUAGCUUUAAUUCUUAUUUUUAUAAUAAAUUUAAUUUAAUUAAAUAUUUUUAGGCUUAGAAUUAGCUUUAAUUUAAAAAUUGUAAUAAUUUUAUAUUAUUAAUAUAUUAAAAAUUUUAAUUUUUAUUUAAUUUUAUAUUAAAAUAAAUUAAUUAAUAAAAAUUUAAUUAAAAUUAUGAUUAAAUUAGUAAAUAGUUUUAAAAUUAUUAAAUGUUUAUAAAUAAAUGUGAGUUAAUUUUUAGGAAUUCGGCAAAAAUUUAUCCCGCCUGUUUAACAAAAACAUGUCUUUUUGUAUUUAAUUUAAAGUCUGAUCUGCUCAAUGAAAUUUUAAAUAGCCGCAGUAUCUUAACUGUGCAAAGGUAGCAUAAUAAUUUGUUCUUUAAUUUAGGACUAGAAUGAAUGAUUUGACGAGGUUAAAGCUGUCUUAAAAUUAUUAAUUAUUGAAUUUAAUUUUUAAGUUAAAAAGCUUAAAUUUUAUUAAAGGACGAGAAGACCCUAUAGAGUUUUAUAAAUAUAUUUUAUUAAUUAUAUUAAUUAUUUUAUAAAAAUAAUUUAAUUUAUUUUGUUGGGGUGAUAAUUAAAUUUAAAAAACUUUUUAAUAUUUAUUACAUAAAUAAAUGAAUUUUUGAUCCUAAUUUUUAGAUUAUUAGAAUAAAUUACCUUAGGGAUAACAGCGUUAUUUUUUUUAAAGUUCAUAUUUACAUUAAAAAUUGCGACCUCGAUGUUGGAUUAAAAUUAAUUUUAGGUGUAGAAGCUUAAAUUUUAGGUCUGUUCGACCUUUAAAAUUUUACAUGAUCUGAGUUCAAACCGGUUUAAGCCAGGUUGGUUUCUAUCCUUAAUUUAUUUAAAAGUUUUUAGUACGAGAGGACCAUAAUUUUAAAUUAUUAGUAAUUUUUGAAAAUUGAAUAUUAUUAAAUUAUUAA
rnacentral:rRNA from 1 species